rnacentral:rRNA from 1 species
UACGGAGGGUGCAAGCGUUAUCCGGAUUCACUGGGUUUAAAGGGUGCGUAGGUGGGCUAGUAAGUCCGUGGUGAAAUCCCCGAGCUUAACUCGGGAACUGCCGUGGAUACUAUUAGUCUUGAAUAUCGUGGAGGUAAGCGGAAUAUGUCAUGUAGCGGUGAAGUGCUUAGAUAUGACAUAGAACACCGAUAGCGGAGGCAGCUUACUACGCGAUUAUUGACACUGAGGCACGAAAGCGUGGGGAUCAAACAGG